AAGUCGUAACAAGGUCUCCGUAGGUGAACCUGCGGAGGGAUCAUUAACACGUUUUAUACGUUAUCAACCAACCGUGAACCUGGAACUUGUCUAAUCACUUGCUCCAAUUAGCCCUGUUUAUCAUACUGUUACACUGUUUCUUGAUGGGUUAAUAAACUUUCGCAAGAUUGUUUAUUAUACGGCAGUGUAUACAAGAGGUGCGGCCUUAAAAGGUUGAUAAAUAGGUUACUAAAUUACCAUGAAAACAAACACCCCUUUCACCCUUUUCGUACCAAUUGACUGAUUGAAUGAAAGAGAUAACUCUCUAGUAAUUCGGAUAUUCGAAACUAAAAGCACAACUCUUAGCAAUGGAUAUCUUGGUUCUC
rnacentral:misc_RNA from 1 species